rnacentral:rRNA from 1 species
AUACGGAGGGUGCAAGCGUUAUUCGGAAUCACUGGGCGUAAAGGACGCGUAGGCGGGUUGGCAAGUCAGAUGUGAAAUCCUACAGCUUAACUGUAGAACUGCAUUUGAAACUGCUAACCUUGAGUAUGGGAGGGGGAGAUGGAAUUAGUGGUGUAGGGGUAAAAUCCGUAGAUAUCACUAGGAAUACCGAAAGCGAAGGCGAUCUCCUGGAACAUAACUGACGCUAAGGCGUGAAAGCGUGGGGAGCAAACAGGAUUAGAAACCCCAGUAGUCC